rnacentral:lncRNA from 1 species
GGGAACGUCACGAUGACGUGGCCGGUGUUAUUUCGUUCCGAUGGUUAUGUCAUGCUAGUGGACCAGCCACCCCAGCUCUCUUUUUUAUUCAGCCCCUGCUUGCUUUUUUCACUGUAGUAUCAGCAGCAGUACGAUUUAAUUUAAAACGGGUUACUCACAGUUCAAUAUACGGGUUCCACGUGGCGUUGAAGGUGACGUAAGGGGGGAUAUUUACUACGAUCAUCAACCAACCAUCCCAUGUGACCGCUCCGGCAAAUAUCCAGUAUUUCCGAACUACCGUAUUAUUGUGACGC